AUAGAGGUAUUGUGAGACUAUUUAGAGAUAGUCUAGAGAUGCGAUAAAGGUAUAGAAUCUGGUUAGACGAUCAAAUUGAGUGUAUAGGUUUAGAGAGAUUUUGAUUCUUAAGUUUAGACAUAGGAUUUCUAGUAUGUUGACUAAUUGAGAUGAUGAAUUGUGUGAAAGGUCAAGAUUAGACCUAGAUAGAAGAGUUUGAUAGUGAAUGAUUGAGUUGAGAAUGGUGAAAAUGCAGAGUUCGGAGUAUUCUGACUAUACUGUAUAUUUGAAACCGGAUUAUCAUAUUGAUUUGAGGAUGAGAUAAAUGCAUGGUUCAUAAUAUGUUGACCAUGUCAGAUAUUUGGAAGAUGUAUAUUGUUUUGAGUAAAGAUAUGAAGCGUAAGUGUAGAGUAUGAGUUGUAUUGGAUUAGAAGGAGAGAUUGGUUGAUAGGUGAGAAGUGAAUGAUAGAGAGUACGUGGAAUUGAGUCCAGUUAUUAGAGAUGAUGUCUACGAAUAAGUUAGAACGUUAGUCCUCGACGACAACGCUUCGAGCUAAUCGGGAUUUCAAAUGGCAUCAAGGUGGGCCCAUAACCCACAGGUUGAUGAUCCAGACAAUCGAAGAUACGUUACGUGUUUGUGCUAUGGAUUUCAAAGGCAACUGGGAUAAAGUAGAAGAAUGUAAACUACAUGGGCCAGAGUUAUUACGGACGAUAACGUCUACGAUGACAUCUUACGAGGCUAUUACGAGUCAACAUCGAUCGAUUAUCGAGAAUGUUGAAAAGAGGAUAUAUAUCGAACAAUGAUUUAUUGAAGCAGAGCGAAAAUCUGAGAAGACCUUGGCAAUACCUCUCUUCAACUAAAGAUUCUUUUGAUUGUUUUCUCAUCAGUGAGAUAUUAUCAUAAUAUCUUUUCUACAAAAGUUUUGAUAAAUGAGAUCUUCAAUUUCUUAAAUUCUAAGAUGACAUUGAUAUUGAUUAUUGGUAUGAGUUGGAAAGCAAAUAUGUGUGAUAAAGGUUUGUUGUGAAGAGAUAGUGAUGUUCCUUGAUAUUGUUUGACAUUUCUUGACAUUCCUUGAUACCCUUUCAUCUACCUUGAUAUCCCUUAGUGUUCUUUGAUAUUGUUGAUAUUCAUUGAUAUUCUCUGAUAUUCCUUAACAUUUCUUCAAUUUGAUUGGGAUGAACAACCCUAUUUAUAGGGGACACAAGGUAUACCUGUCUGUGUGAUAGGAGUUGGAUGGGACGCCAUCACUUGUGUGUGUUGUGAUUACAAGAAGGUUAACAACCUUUAGUAGUGUCUAAUGUGGACACGCAACACCAAGUUCGUUGAUCAUAUAGAUCUCUCAGUCACUCCUUUAUUCAAAUGUGAUCUACCUUGAAAACAUUUUGUUCUAUUCAAAAUUCCACAAGAUUGAUUCUUGGGAAAUGAAUUUUGCAAUUGUAAAAGUUUGAUUUUCCUUUUUCAUUAAAGUUAAAGGUAUGCCAAGAUCAACCAAAGGUGAAUGACGAUAUGAUAUUACGAAGCGUGUACGUUUUAGUUUCUUCGGAGGAUUCCGAGGACGGAAUCCUUAUAAGGGGGGUAGAAUGUAAUAUCCCAUAUUAUUAAAUUUAGAUGUGAUUAUUAUAAAUCUAUUUGUCUAGAUAUUAUUGUUGGCUCUAGUUGAAUAUUGAUAUGAUUAUGUGAAUAGUUGUAUGUGAUUAUACUUGUUAUGUGGAUUAAUAUGGAUUUUACAGAUUAUGCAUCCUCCUUCUUUUUCUGAUUCCGAGGACGGAAUCCCUAUAAGGAGGGUAGAUUGUAAUGACCUGGAUUUUUAAAAAUAUUUUUAUUAGUAUUAAAAGUGAUUUUUCUUAAAAAGAAGGGAAUAAGAUUUAAUAUUUUAUUCCAGUUUAAUGAGUUUUCAAAGUUUUAUAUUAAACCCCGGGUUAUUGUGUUAUUGAUAAAUAAUUGUAUUUUUAAAACUGAUUUUCAUAUAUUGUUUUGAAAAUUUUAGAUGAUUAUUAUGUGAAUAUAUGUGUGAUGUGAGUAAGUGGUAUUGGUGGAUUUGUUGGUUAAUUAAUUAUGGUUAAUUAUGAGUAUUAUAUGAUUAAUAUAUGAAUUUUUGUGAAUUUUAUAUUAUCUGGUUUAUUGCGUUAACUGCUCAUAUGUGUUCGUAUUUGAGAGAUUUCAAUUUCUAUAUGUUCAGGAG
rnacentral:lncRNA from 1 species